rnacentral:sRNA from 1 species
UGACCCUUCUGGGUCACCUAGCCAACUGACGUUGUUUGUGAGCAAUUCGUUCACUCAAACAAGAUAGCCAGCCACUUUUUGGGCUGGCUUUUUUUUA